GGCAUUGGACACUAAGAGACGCCCAGGUGGAUUACCUGAGGGUGGCAUCACUUAGCAGGAGUGCUGCAUGGACCUUAUGGCAGUCAGGGUGACAUGGACUUCAUGAAUUAGCUACUGCUGUGCCUGAUGAUUUUCUAGCACAAGUAGCCCCAAGUGAUCUGCAACAGCCAUCGCUUCACAUUGAGAAGGAUUCUUUUUAUUUUCCUUGUCAGCAGCAUCCCCCUGUCUCGACACAGCAAUUGUACCUUUGAGGACAUGACACCAUGUGAAAAUCAUUGGUUUAAUGGGAACAUCCCAUCUGAAGAAUAGUGUUUCAUCCUCACAGGCCAUCAUCUCCAGGCUGGAACUUCAGCUAACCUUUCAGAGGCCAUUUCAUCAGGCUUCCAUCUCCUGGUGGCGUUCCCAGUCUUCCAAUAUUUCUUCUCCCAGGACCCUGGCCAACCAGCUAAGCCAUUUGCUACUGUCCAUGGAUUUAUACCCAUCUUUACCUUCAGUCAUUCUUUCAAACAAGUCCUGUGCCUGAGCUUCAGCUCUGUUUGUCCUCUUGCUGUGGAAGAUGGAGAUCUCUUGCAAUGAUACCCAGAAGGCCCUCUCACUCUCACACAUUGCUUUAAGUGACUGAUGGUCCUAGACUGUCAUUUCCUCUUUUCAAAAUAUCAUUGUCACUCAGCAAUAGUCACUCAAUUCCAUAGUCUUCUAAUUAUAAUCUCUCCAUUGUCUUCCCAAUGGCAAAGAUAUUGCACAAAUCAGAACAACCCUCUCUACUUGUGUCUCAUGUCAGUUCACUAUAGGUGAAAAGCAUUAGCAGUUUCACUGCUUCUGUGUGCCACUAUCAUUCAUCCACUGACCAACAGUGAUGGGUUCAUUGUUGCCAACUGGAUGGAAAGUGAUCGCACAUCGGAAUCCAGUUCUUAAUGUUUGCUUCUUGGGUCCAGUUUUGGUACCAACAGUCUUAGGUCAAGUUUCUAAGAAGCAGAGUCUGAGACAGAGGCUCAGGUACAUAUGACUGUGGAGACAAUGCUCUUCAGGAAAUACCUGCAAAGCAGAGAGUGCCACUAUCAUUAAUCCACCGACCAACAGUGAUGGGUUCAUUGUUGCCAACUGGAUGGAAAGUGAUCGCACAUCGGAAUCCAGUUCUUAAUGUUUGCUUCUUGGGUCCGGUUUUGGUACCAACAGCCUUAGGUCGAGUUUCUAAGAAGCAGAGUCUGAGACAGAGGCUCAGGUACAUAUGACUGUGGAGACAAUGCUCCUCAGGAAACACCUGCAAAGCAGAGAGUGACUCAGGACAGAGAAGGAGAAAGCUGGACAAGGAUAUGUUCUUAUGGGAAUCUUCUCUUGGUAUCUUAGUGCAUUUGGGAUGCUGUAACAAAAUACCAUAGACUGAGUGGCUUCCAAACAACAGACAUUUAUCUCUCACAGUCUUGGAGGCUGGAAGUCCAAGAUGAAGUUGCUGGCAAAUACAGUAUCUUGUGAGGAACUGCUUCCUGGUUCAUAGAUGGCCAUCAUCUCACUGUAAUCUCCCAUGGUAGAAGGGGCAAGAGAUCUCUCUAGGGUCUCUUUUAUAAGGGAACUAAUUUCACUCGUGAGGGCACCACCCCUGUUACUUUAUUGUCCCUGAAGGGCCCCAGCUCCCAAUACCAUCACACAGGAGAUUCGGUUUCAGUAUAUGAAUUUUGAAGGGGCAUGAACAUUCAGUCUGUAGUAUUUGGUUUAUGUGGAGAGGGCUCUGGAACUUAGAUCAUACCGAGUUGAUACCUGGUUGAGGCUGGGGUCAGUCUUUCGUACCUCAUAUCUGUGAACCAUUGGUGAUGGGCCACAUAACUUCCUAGGUGAGGUGCCAUUAGCAGCCAACACUCACAGUAAUUGGUGGGCAGUACCUGCCUGGUAGAGAGGAUAUGGGUGAGGCACUACACCCACAUUGUAGGUUCAAAUUCUAAUUUCAUCACACACUGGUGGUGUAAGUUGGGCAACUUAAUUCAUCUCUGUGCUCUAAUCUAAUCUAUAAAGUGCUACAUAAUAAACUUUCAAUGUUAGUUUUUAUUAUUGUUAUUUUUAAUUUUGUUGGCAUUGUUGUUAUUUACUAUUUAAUAGUGAUUUUCAAGAUGCUGAGUAUGAACAAAUAUUUUUAGAUAAAAAAUACAGUUUUACUAAGUACUGUGGAAAGGCACAAUUAACAGUGACAAGGUCAGUUCUCAAAUGGCCCAUGUUCAUUUGUUUUGGUAAGAUGAUACAAUUGUUCAAUACUCGUGCUGUGUAAAAUAAUUAAUGGCUUGUUGAAUGAAAUUUCUCAUUAGCUAAACUUAGGAGAUAAAUAUGAAAUCUACCAACAGGUCUGGCUUAUAGGUCAGAAGAGCUUGGUCCCAUGCCCAGACCCAUUUCUGACACACUGUAAGACCUUGGGAAGUUGACAUCCAUCUCUAUUCCCCUGUGGGUUUCAUAUCAAAUGAUGACAGGGAGGAAACUGACAUCUAGGAGUGUGAUCCUUACCUGGGGCUGGUCAACUGUAGGAAACAGAAAUCCAUUUAAGCCAGAGCAAGAAAAUAGUUCUGAGUUCAUCAAAUCCAAAGAAUGGCUUAAAAAUUGUCCCAGGGAAGUUGGAAAUCAAGGUUGUUUCCAGGAUUUUACCAUCAGGAAUGUCUGUAUAUAUCUUUGAGAAUACAAUUCAAAUUCUAACUCUCUCGGUCUCUGGGUCUCUUAGUUCCAAUCCUCAAGAACAGAAUCUGAUUGGCAGCCGCCCAGACAAUAUCUUGGCUCAUGAUGAGGCAUUGGCCUGCCCAGGUCCAAUCAGCUGCAGCUAGAGAUGGCCCAGGUGGUGAAUGGCAAGUUAAGCAUAGCAAGGGAAAUGCUGGUUACCAGCUCUGCUUUGAGACUGCACCACAUGCAGUCAUGAAGCUACCUGCUUUCUUCAUGGUAACCUUGUUGAUAGGUAUGAUGACCUCAUCUUGUAGAUAUGGAGGUUGAGAGAGAUAAGAUUACUUUCCAGCACGGCAGUUGGGAAGGCAGAGCUGGAAUAACUCUGCCUUAUUUUAUGCAGGGUCUAUGGAAGAAAGAGUUCUUGCCCCAACACAGCUCUUCUAGGACUUGUCAAUACUGGGUUUUCUUUAAGGUGGGUAACAAUGAUUGAUCCCCAUGCUGUGAUGGUGGAUGGUCAUCACACCAGCUUGUGUGAGCAAGUGUUUCUUCUGUGUACCUAGGAAGCUUACCUUCUGGCUAUGAGGAGUCCUUGUCCACUGCCAGAGAAUACUGAGACAAUGGCCCACGUCUCACCUUAGCCCAAGUUUCAUUCUUGGGUCUCCCAAGGCAGAUCUCCCCCGCAUAUGGGAAAUCAUUCUUCCGGCUUUAGCCUGGGG
ensembl:lncRNA